rnacentral:rRNA from 1 species
AGCGUAGGCGGAGUAAAUAAGUUAGGAGUUUAAUGUACGGGCUUAACCCGUAAUCUGCUCCUAAUACUGUUUUUCUUGAGUAUGGGAGAGGGAGAUGGAAUUCCAGGUGUAGCGGUGGAAUGCGUAGAUAUCUGGAAGAACACCAGCUGCGAAGGCGGUCUCCUGGCCCAAUACUGACGCUGAGGCUCGAAAGCUAGGGGAGCAAACAGGAUUACGAUACCCUGGUAGUCCUAGCCGUAAACGAUGGACACUAGAUGCUGGAGGAGUCAAUCCUUUCGGUGUCGUAGCUAACGCGUUAAGUGUCCCGCCUGGGGAGUACGCUCGCAAGGGUGAAA